rnacentral:lncRNA from 1 species
UUUUUUUUCUUUUUUUUCUUUUUUUGGUGUUAUCUGCUAAAUGAUUUAAAAUAGCAGAACUAAAGUACAAUGCAUAUCCCUUCAAGAACAGAAACAUGACAGGCUACAAAUAAUGGUUUAUUUCAGAGUAAAAUCUCACCAAGGAACCUAAGUGGAUAAUAGCCUAAGGAAGUUUCAAAUGUGAGAUGGCUCAAAUUUGAGAUGGAGAAUUAUGAGUGGCCUAUAAUAUGGAAAUUGGAAGCUUUCUUCCAUACACAUUCUUUUUAGAUUUUCCAUAACUUAUUCAUUUACUUAUUUAAUAAUUGUACUGUUAUCAGCUAUCCCCAGUGUUUGCUGUCCUUUUGGGGAUACAGACAUGAAAAGUAAUCAAAAAUAGCUAAUAUUUAUCGAACACAUAGUAUGUGCUUAGCUAUGGUAAGCGUUCUGUGUAUAGGUAAGGCCAACAUAAGGUCACCCAGCCAGAAAAUGGUUGUGUCUAGUUCUAACACGCAUCUGUCUGCCUAGAGGCUAUGUUGUUAAGGGCCUCUCAUUAUAAGAGUAAACUUAGAACCACUGCCUUGAAAAGAAUCACCUAGAUCCAGUGAGCAGGAUGAUCCAUUCAUUCUUGCCAUAAUGUGAUACUGACUUUAAAUUGUUCAUUUCUGUUAACUAUCACUAUUCCAUCCUCCACCUCUCCCUCCAAAAUAAAACACCAGCUCACAAGCCAUUUCUAGAAAAGCUUUUUUGAAGUUCCUUGCAAAAAGUGCUUGCUAAUGACCUGGUAAUUGUUUUAUGUCUUUUAAAACGAAGUGUGAAGUCACCAAAAAGUCACAGAAAUACUGUAAAAGCUUUGGCAGAAUUUAUGGUUUCCCAGGGGGACUACAUCAUACUGGAAUUGGCAGCUGCAUUCUCAGCUUUAAAUAAAUAAAGGGACAAAGAAAAGUAAGAUCCUUAUAGUCACUACUUGAGUUUUAAAAAUAAUUCUCAUGCAGAUGCAAUGAAACAGGCACUGACUAGGAGAGGGUGAAUUUACAAAACUUUCUGGAAAGCAAUUUGCAUUCAGUCUAAAAAGAUGCUUGUCCUUUGGCCCAGUAACUCCAUCUCUUAACUAGAAUCUGUUCCAGGGAAAUAAUUAGAUAUUUGGACCAAGGUAUAUUUAUAUGCAUGUUUUCUAACUCUUAAUAGAAAUACCACAACAUUGAAAGUAGUUUAUAAACGUGUAAGAAUAUGUAAGUGAUUAUGUAUAUUAUAAUACAUAAUUUACACAUCAAGUUUUACAGCCAUUUUAUGUGAUCUUUUCCAAAUAGUGUUAUGAUAUGGAAAAAUAUACAAAAACAUAUAAACCACUGUAUGCAUGAAGACCUUUUCUAAAGAUUGAUUAUUACAGAAAGAGGGAAAAGGACAAGAUUAAUAUGCAUAAAAAAGAACUAUAAUUAAACAACAACAAAAAAGUAACCAAAGUUAGGAGUCUUUAUGAUCUGUCUCCCUUUCUGAUACUUCCCACACAUUUCUUCUCCCUUCCCUUAUAUUCCCUUUCACUAUUAUUUAUAUUCCCCAAAUGAAUGAGAACAUAUAAUGUUUGUCCUUCUCCGAUUGACUUACCUAACUCUGGGAAACGAACUAGGGGUGGUGGAAGGGGAGGAGGAAGGGGGGUGGGGGUGAAUGGAUGACGGGGACUGAGGGGGGCACUUGGUGGGAUGAGCACUGGGUGUUAUUCUAUAUGUUGGCAAAUUGAACACCAAUAAAAAAAUAAAUUUAUAAAAAAAAUUUCAAGCUAAAAAAAAUAACCAAAAAGUAAUAAAAGUUAUUUCUUAAAAAUCAAAAGAGAAUGAACUUAGAUUAGGCAAUAUUUUUUAGAUAUAACACCAAAAGUACCAGCAACAAAUGAAAAAAUAAACAUCAUCAAUAUUUUGUGCUUCAAAGGAUAUCAUCAAGAAAGUGCAAAGACGUCCUACAGAAUGGGAGGAAAUUUGUGCAAAUCAUGUCUCGUAAGGGAAUUGUAUCUAGAAUAUAUAAAGAAGUAUUGCAGCUCAUUAAAAAAAGACAACCUAAUUUUUAAAAUAGCCAAAGAAAUUAAGUUAUCUAAAGAAGAUAUACAACUGUAUGACAGGCACAUGAAAAUGUAUAAGGGAAAGGAGGGGACCUGAAUGGGAAAAAUUAGAGAGGGAGACAAACCAUGAGAGACUCCUAACUCUGGGAAACAAAGGGUUGUGGAAGGGGAGGUAGCCAGGGGGAUGGGAUAACUGGGUGAUGGGUACUGAGGAGGCCACUUGAUGGGAUGAGCACUGGGUUAUCAAAAUUAAAUAAAAACAAAUGUAAGAAAAAUAACAAUUAUAAUAACCUUGAGACACUGGUUAUUAUGACUAAAUGAGGUAAGAAUUUGUUGUGGUGAUGGUUACACAAUUCUGUAAAUAGAGUUAAAACUACUGAAUUGUACAAUUUAAUAGGAUGAAUUAUAUGGGUGUGUAUUAUCAAUAAAACUUUUAUAAAAUAAAAAAAGAAAAUGUAUGCACAUGAUUAGCUAUCAAGAAAAUACAAACCCAGGCCACCAGGCCACAGUAAGAUAUCACUUCACACCCAGUAAGAUGUUAUAAUAGAAAAGUCAGAAUACAGAAAAUAUUGAGGAGAGUGUAAAGAAAUUGGAACCCUCAUUCAUUGCUGGUAGAAAUGUAAAGUGGUAAAGCUACUUUGGAAAACAAUCUGGAUGGGAUGCCUGGGUGGCUCAGUGGUUAAGCCUCUGCCUUGGGCUCAGGGUGUGAUCCUGGGGUCCCGGAAUUAAGUCCUGCAUCAGGCUCCCUGCAUGGAGCCUGCUUCUCCCUCUGCCUAUGUCUCUGCCUGUGUGUGUGUGUGUGUCUCUCUCAUGAAUAAAUAAAUAAAAUAUUAAAAAAAAAAGAAAACAAUCUGGCAAUUCUUCUAAUGCUUUAACAGUAAGUUACCAUAUUGCCCAGUAAUUCCACCUCUGGGUAUCUACCCAACAGAAAUAAAGACAUAAGUCCACCCACACAAAAACUUGUACAUGAAUGUACUUAAGAGCAUUAUUCAUAAUAGCCAAAAGUGGGAACAAUCCAAUUAUUCAGCAACUGAUGAAUGGAUAAAUAAAAUGUGAUAUAGCCAUGUAAUGAACUAUUACUUGACAAUAAAAAGAAAUGAGGCACUGAUCCAUGCUACAAAAUGGGUAAAUCCUACUAACAUUAUGCUAAGUGAAAGAAGUCCGUGGUAAAGAACUAUAUAUUGCAUGCAUCUAACCAUACAAAACAUCCAGAAUAGGCAAAUCUAGAGAUAUGGGAAAUAAGGGGUGGAAGGUGGAUGGAGAGAAGGGUUAUGUGCGUGUGUGUGUGUGGGGGGGUAUUUUAAUUCUCCAUUCCUACCCCCUCCUUGCUCUACCCAAUGCACACCUCUUCCCAUUUCCACCUCUCAUGUAGAGCAUGGCAUGGUAUCCUCCCAGAAAUCAGGUCUAGAAAUCUCAGAAUCACCUAAGUCUGUUCAUUGCCUCAGCUCCCAACCCAGGCCAUCACCAAGGUCUUAUAAUUCUAUCUCUUAAAUUUUGCUGUAGGGAAUGCUCCAUUCUCUCACACUACCUGGUUCAUGCCUUCCCCAUCUUCACUUAGGACAGGACAACCACUUCCUAAAUCACACCUCUCACUCCAGUCUCUCCCUCCAAUUCUUGUCCUCAGGUUACAGUAACAGUUAAUUCUCUUCUCUUCUAAGCUGCAUUUUUAAAAGGUGAAAACGCACUUAAGUACAGAAAAUCAUAUAAGAAGAAAAGAACUAACACAUCUUAACACAAUGUAACUUUUGCUGUAAAUAUACUUUUUCUUCUAAGAAGAAAUGGAGAUUUUGACCAAAACUAAGUUUACCCUUGUUCUCUUUCCAGUCUCAUUUUCUUCCUUCCUGCUCCAAAGGUGUUUUUAUGAAUGUUUUAUAAAUGUAGGUGCAUAGUUCCAGUACCUACUUUUAAUACACACAUAUAUACAUAUGUACAAUGUAUAUAUUGCUUUAUAUGCUUUAAAUUUGUUAACUUUUUCAUUGAAGUAUAACAUAAAUACAAUAAAUGGUACAUAUCUUAAGGGUAUGCCUUGAUGGAUUUACCAAGUGAACACACUUGUAUCACCAUCUUUCAGAUCAAGAACCUUAGAAUCUUCCUUUGCAUCAGCCCCUGGUCUUAGUCAUUACUUUCCAUCACCACUAUUUUGACCUCUAUCUCCAUAGACUAAUUUUGCCUGUUUUUGAAUGUCAUCUGAUUGGAAAUAAAUGAAUACAGUGAAUGUGUUCUAUCUUGUAUUUGACUUCUUUCAUUCAACAUGGCUAUGAGGUUUAUCCCUGUUGCUAAGUAUAGUAGAUAGUAACUAUUUUUCAUUACUGUAUAGGGUUCCAUUUUAUGUAUAUACUCCAUGGUGGACAUUUGGGAUGUUUCCAGUUUGAACUAUAAGCAAUAAUUUUGCCAUGAAUAAUCUUAUACACAUCUUUUGAAACAUAUAUGUAUAUAUUACUGCUGAGCAUGUAUCUAGAAUGGAACUAGUGUGUCAUUAAGUCUGUGCAUGUUCAGUGUUAGCAGGUAACUCCAGUUUCCACCUUUACAAUCCCAAAAGUAGUAAAUGAAAGUUCUAAUUGCUCUUCAUCAUAACAAGUAUGUGGCAUUGGCCCUCCCCUUUUAUUUUUUUUUUAUUUUUUAUUUUUUAUUUUUUUUUAUUUUAUUUUAUUUUUUUUUAUUUUUAUUUUUUUUAUUGGUGUUCAAUUUACUAACAUACAGAAUAACACCC